UCCUCCCCUAGCCCGGGGAACGUUAAAUCUGUGGGCCCUCUGAUGGCGUCACAAGUCCGCGCCUGAUCCUGGCUACGGCUGAAGCGGCGAAGGCGGCAGCGGCAGCGGCAGCGGCAGCGGCGACGGCGGCGGCGGCGGCGGCGGCGGCGGCGACAGCUCUGGGGUUCGCGUCUCGGGGUGUGUCGGCCGCCGCUGCUGCUCAGGCCUGGAAUGUACAGAUGGCUGGCUAAGGUUCUCGGCACCAUUCUUCGCUUGUGUGAGCGGCCCGCGCCCGGGGCCCGCGCCCUACUCAAGAGGCGGCGCUCCAGCAGCACUCUGUUUUCUACUGCAGUGGACACUGAUGAGAUCCCAGCCAAAAGGCCAAGAUUAGAUUGCUUUAUUCACCAAGUGAAGAACAGUCUCUACAAUGCUGCCAGUUUAUUUGGAUUCCCGUUCCAGCUGACCACAAAACCCAUGGUGUCUUCUGCUUGUAAUGGAACACGGAAUGUGGCCCCUUCUGGAGAGGUCUUUUCGAACUCUUCAUCUUGUGAGCUGAUGAGUUCUGGAUCCUGCAGCAGCAUGCUGAAACUGGGUAAUAAAUCUCCUAAUGGAAUAAGCGACUAUCCAAAGAUCAGAGUGACAGUGACCCGCGAUCAGCCACGGAGAGUCCUGCCCUCCUUUGGUUUUACGCUGAAAUCGGAAGGCUAUAAUAGAAGGCCAAGUGGUCGUCGCCAUAGCAAAAGCAAUCCAGAGAGUUCCUUAACAUGGAAGCCUCAGGAGCAAGGUGUGACAGAGAUGAUUUCUGAAGAGGGUGGCAAGGGUGUGAGGCGUCCCCACUGCACCGUGGAGGAGGGUGUCCAAAAGGAUGAAAGAGAAAAGUAUCGAAAGUUAUUGGAGCGACUUAAAGAAGGUGCUCAUGGAAGCACGUUCCCUCCCACGGUUUCACACCACAGUUCUCAGAGAAUUCAGAUGGACACAUUAAAGACCAAAGGCUGGGUGGAGGAGCAGAAUCAUGGCGUCAGAACAACCCAUUUUGUUCCAAAACAGUAUAGAGUUGUUGAAACAAGAGGACCUCUCUGUUCAAUGAGAAGUGAAAAGAGGUAUUCAAAAGGGAAAGCUGAUACAGAGAAGGUGGUGGGACUCCGAUUUGAAAAGGAAGGUAAUGGGAUAGUCUUACACGCAUUCACGACCGGCCAGGAAGAACACAGCAAACCAGAAUCUUCUGCGGCAAAACUUUAUUGCUUACAUCUUCAGGAGUAAGAGAGCAAGAGUGCAAGAGUGCAAGAGUGCAAGAGAGAGAGCAAGAGAGAGAAAAAGAACAAGAAAGCAAGAGAAAGAAUGGCAAAACCCCGUCCCUUUUAAGGAGAAUUAUCCUCCGCCUAGGACGUAUUACUCCCUGAUUGGCUGCAGCCCAUCGGCCCAGUUGUCAUCACGGGAAAGGCAGAACACGUGGCGGGAAAACUGCCCCUGCACGUGUGCAGAUUAUGUUUACUACUUAGAACACAGCUGUCAGCGCCAUCUUAUAAUGGCAAAUGUGAGGGCGGCUUCCCACAGAUCCCCCUUUUCUUUUAAUAAGAGCAAUAGGCCACCCAUAUUAAUGAGAGUGGAGAUAGAGGUCAAAUCCCCAGUGUGCAGGUAAAGGAGCCAUGUACAGGAUUAGCUCUUAGGCUCACAGGCUUUUACCCAGAGCAACCCUGACCUGCUCCCGUGUCGUUUUUCCUGGGGGAAGGGAACUAGGACACUGAACCUUCUUGAAAAAUGACAUGUCUCCCUAGAAUAGGCUCAUAUAUGCCGCAGAGCCCUUCUACUGCAGUGCUUAGCCGUGCAACUCUCUCGGGCUGCUGAAGCACACUCACUCUAUCCCGUGCAAUGAGACUAGCCUCGUGGGGUGCAAGAGCUGAAUGGCCAGCGACCUAUUGCUUAAGCAUAGAUAUAUCAGGGGAAGCACCAUGUUCUAGAGCUGCAAGUGCCUGGGCAAUAACCACCUUGUCUCUCCUAGUUUGGGCCUUAAGCUUACAGACCAACCAGAGAAGCAACACUAAUCCACAGCAAAGUGUAUCUCCAAAUAAUAUCAAUCCCACCCAUUCUUUAAAGAAGGAAAAUGCUGAGGAGAUCCAAUUGGGUAAUCCUUUGGUCAGGGACAGGUCCAAGCGCGUGGAGUUGACCUGAAUGAUGGCAAGUCUCAAUUCCCGAAGGGUCUGUUCAAAUUCAGCCGUCCAAUUCUGUAACAUAUACUGAGAAAGACUUUUUGACAAAUUAGCUGCCCUAGUAAAUUUCUCAUUCUGAAUGGAAGUAACGCACAAUGAGGGGUCCCCCAAGCUCCCGACAAAUCCUGAGCCAGUCUUGUAAACCUUUGUUCUUUCUUGGGGCUAUGGCCGCUCUGCAUUCCUGCGUGGCUUGCUCAUAAAUAAGCUAUUCUACCAGAGGUGCGGCUUGCUCUGAAUCUCCAAAAAUAUGCUCUGCUGCCUCUGUCAUUCUGGCCACAAAAUCUGAGAAGGACUCCUGAGGUCCCUGGACGAUCUUUGUUAGUUGUCCAGUGGCUUCACCUGCUUGGGAGAGCGCCUUCCAGGCCCUAAUAGCCUUUUCAUCUGAUUCAGAACUACUAAGAACUGGCUCCUUGAGCUCAUCUAGUGAUGAGUAUAGGCUCCUUCUCCUAGAGACCUCCGCUAAUUGAUCUUUUUUCUUUUCCUUCCUUCUAAUCUCUCCCCAGGUAUUCUUACCUGACCUAAACUUUUCCUCGGGUUCAAGACCCGUGGAAAGGCCUGUAUACUUAUUUUGUGUACCAUAUUUCCUCUUUGCUCCUACUCUCUCUCCCCGCUUUACUUCUGAUAGAUUGCCCUGAAUUUCAUCCAGAAUUUUCAGCCCUGCCUUAACCGCUUGAUAACAUGUGAAAAGGAACAAAAAGGCUCCUAACACUAGAGAAAGUUCAAGGCCAAACAUACCUUGUAAAGCUAUUUCCCACUUUACUUCUGAUAGACUGUCUUGAAUUUCGUUAGAAAGUUCAAGGCCAGACGUACCUUGUAAAGCUAUUUCCCACUUUACUUCUGAUAGACUGUCUUGAAUUUCGUUAGAAAGUUCAAGACCAGACGUACCUUGUAAAGCUAUACUUACGGGUACCCUGUUCCCCAGCUGAAGAGUUCUGAAUUCACGCAGUUGAAUCCUUCUCAACAGUCUGUUUUGCGGGAACACUUCAUUACCAUGACCCGCAGUUCUGGUUCCGGAAUGAGGGAUCUUCCUUGCGCCGGUGAUGGUAACCGUCCCAGGUUUUCUCGUCCCAGGUCUUCUCAUCCUGGGUCUUCUCGUCCCGGGUUUUCUCGUCCCAGGUCUUCUCGUCCCGGGUCUCAGCACCAACUCUUACACGCAUUCACGACCGGCCAGGAAGAACACAGCAAACCAGAAUCUUCUGCGGCAAAACUUUAUUGCUUACAUCUUCAGGAGUAAGAGAGCAAGAGAGCAAGAGUGCAAGAGUGCAAGAGAGAGAGAGAGCAAGAGAGAGAAAAAGAACAAGAAAGCAAGAGAAAGAAUGGCAAAACCCCGUCCCUUUUAAGGAGAAUUAUCCUCCGCCUAGGACGUAUUACUCCCUGAUUGGCUGCAGCCCAUCGGCCCAGUUGUCAUCACGGGAAAGGCAGAACACGUGGCGGGAAAACUGCCCCUGCACGUGUGCAGAUUAUGUUUACUACUUAGAACACAGCUGUCAGCGCCAUCUUAUAAUGGCAAAUGUGAGGGCGGCUUCCCACAGGAUAGGAACUGAAAAUGUUUCCCUUCCUAGUUCCAGAGGAAUGGUGUUUCUGUUUGUAACUGAUCUGCCCUGUGGGUCUAUGUUUGACUCUGAAGCUUAUGUUCACCUUUACCAGGGCGGGCGGGCAGGUCUGUUUCACCAUCAGGACAGCUGCUAAAUCUCAUAGUCAUUGUCUCUCUUCACGGCAAUGAUAGACUUUUACAUUUUUUAAAAAAUUUCAUAAACCUUGUUAAAAAACAUCACACACCAAAGCUGACUAGACCCUAAAUCUGCAUGUCAGUGGGCUGUGCAGUAGAGGAGCUCCUUGGGAUGGAAGCCGUGGGGCAUCACGUGGGGUCUUACCUGUCACUAUCCAGUAUAUCUUUAUGCACGUAUUCACUACCCAAUGUGGAGUUCCAUAGUGGAGUUAAAACUAGAAAAUAGUUUCUUCCAUAACUUGUACAGUGUUUUCUCUUCUGUAUGCACUGUUGCAUUAUGUGUACAAAAUCAAGCAUUGUCAAUGUUGGAACUUUUUUGGUCAGACAAGAGGACACCAAAUGGAGCCUGAUCUGUCAGAAGAAGUGUCUGCCCGACUUCGUCUAGGAAGUGGAAGCAAUGGCUUACUCAGAAGGAAAAUAUCAGUGCUUGAGAUAAAGGAAAAGAACUUCCCGAGCAAAGAGAAGGACAGAAGAACGGAAGACCUCUUUGAAUUUACAGAGGACAUGGAAAAGGAAAUCAGUAAUGCCCUGGGCCACGGCCCACCAGAUGAGAUUUUGAGCAGCGCUUUCAAGUUGCGAAUCACCCGCGGAGACAUCCAGACCUUAAAGAACUAUCAUUGGCUCAACGAUGAGGUCAUUAAUUUUUAUAUGAAUCUUUUAGUGGAAAGGAGUAAAAAGCAAGGUUAUCCAGCACUUCAUGCAUUCAGUACAUUCUUCUAUCCUAAGCUAAAGUCUGGAGGUUACCAAGCAGUGAAAAGAUGGACCAAAGGGGUAAAUCUCUUCGAACAAGAACUUGUUCUGGUACCUAUUCAUCGGAAGGUACAUUGGAGCCUGGUGGUGAUGGACCUAAGAAAAAAGUGUCUUAAAUAUCUGGAUUCUAUGGGACAAAAAGGCCACAGGAUCUGUGAGAUUCUUCUUCAGUAUUUACAGGAUGAAAGCAAGACCAAAAGAAAUACAGAUCUCAACCUCUUAGAGUGGACCCACUACAGCAUGAAGCCACAUGAGAUUCCUCAGCAGUUGAAUGGGAGUGACUGUGGAAUGUUUACUUGUAAAUAUGCAGAUUAUAUUUCUAGGGACAAACCUAUCACAUUCACUCAGCACCAGAUGCCUCUCUUCCGGAAGAAGAUGGUGUGGGAGAUCCUUCACCAGCAGUUGCUGUGACAAUGCCCCGCCUGGUCUUCUAGCUGCUGGUGGUUCUUUGAUGGAUGUUUCCAUAUACCUCAUGCAUUGUGGGUUAAAAAGUCCCCGAUCAUUUCUCUUCUCUCACAGGUACUGAGCUCUCAAGAGUGCAUGAAGGCCUCUCCACAAUGGCCCUGACUAGAGGUGUGGAGGGGCUGCUUGAAACCCUGUUUCUAAGGCUGUGCCUGCUCAGAGCCCUGGACUAUUCACCCCAUACAAGAACAAAUGCUAAUUAAUGUGUUUUGUUUUAAAGCGUUAUUUCCAUAUGAAUGUGGGAAAUGCAGGAUCUGUUAUAUGAAUUGUUCUGUGUGUUCACACGAAUUCACUCUCUCAUUGGGCAGUGCCCUUUUCCCACUGCUCUUUUAUAAUUAGCUAUAAAUAAUUUGGACUAUUUAUUUCUGAAAAGAAUGUUAAUCAAACUGCCACUUCCUGCUGCAGAGAGAUAUCAGCAGGGGGAGGAAGGAGGUGUUCGCUAGCUUCUCUAAUGCUGGAGUGCGAACUGCCGACAUACAGUUAAGGUUCUCUCUUUUAAGGCUUGAAAAUGCCAGAAGAAAUGACGAUGCUCUGUUGUAGGAUCUGGCUGCCUUUUAGAGAGUCUGAUGCUAUGACACGGGCACAGUUCGUGGAAAUGUGGCCAAGGAACUCGAUCUGUGCAUCCUCAGAACGGGGCGUGCGCAUCUUAGAGACUUUCUUUUCUAGAACCGAAGUAGCUUGGCUUCCUCUUGAAACUGGAUUCAAAGUAACUGUGAGCAUCCAUGUUAAGUCGUAGGUCUGGUGAGUGAGUGUGUGAGCCUCACCAGGGAAGGGCUGGCCUGAGCUGUCUGCUCUGAAGAUGCUCCUCAAUGGAAGCCUAUUUUUCCUCAGAGUUUUUUUUUUUUUUAAUAUAUAUAUAUAUAAAGCUGAAAUUAAGUUCUUGGCUCAUCAGCAUGCCCCACUCCAGCCCCACUGAGCCUUUGGAGAGAGAUUAGUACUUGGCUCUGAGGUUGCCAGGUUUACAGGCAUCUAUUUUGCAUAUGAAAGUUUGUAUUUAACUUUUUUGUUCAUUAAAAAUCUUACAGGUGUGGUUAUGCAUUGUCAAUUUCAGAAAGUUGGUCAGAGCACAUUUUGCAAGAUCUAGUGCCUAGUGUUGCUUUUAUGACGUAAUAAAAGACUGGCAGAACCUAGAGUAUAUUCUGAUAAUUUUUCCUCUUUUCUCUGCCUCAACCUUCCAAAGUUGUUCUGGUACAAAAAGAGAGAGAAAGAGAGAGAUAAAAUUAGAAAAGCUGCACACAUGUUAGAUACAAACGUACACGUCUGCUCUUGGGACGCCUGGGCAGCUGAUCAGAGGUUGUAGCUGUUGAAACCUGUUUGCUCUGAGACUUGAAAUGACCUUCGUUAUGGAAGCUGGGCCUGUGAUGGGGACUGAAAUGGCUGAGCCAACCCGAGACCAGGUGGCCUAAACCUGAAAGCGAGCAUGUGGUCUAACAAUUCAGGGGUAAACGGUGUUGUAACCUCCUCAAGGCAGACUACACAGGGACCCCUUCCUUUAUUUAGCCUAGACCCCCCCCCCCCCCAAGCACUGUGCCAGUGAUGCCGGGAUCAGGCAGCUGGUCUAACCAAAAGAGCCCAGAAGUUGAUCCUGUCUACACUACUAAAACCUGGGUGCUAGAAUUCUACCUGAGAAUUUAUGAUCCCGGCCUAUCAAACAAAAUAGCUACCUGACCAGAGUUUGAUCCCCAGUGCCCACACUGGAGGGCGAAAACUGACUCCCCAAAAUUGUCCUCAGACCUCCAUACUUGCACAAACCAACAGAUGGACCAAAUUAGUAAUAAGUAAAAAAAAAUUAAAGGAAUUUUAAGGGCCUUGGAUAGGUUUGUUUCUGUUGGCUCAGUCCUGCUUGGAUGGCGACUUUCUCUCCCCAGGUGAGUGAUGCUAUAGCUAAUGUGGCAUUUGAAGGUGUCCUCAAGCUCGCCACCCGGGUGUGCUUAGAACAGGAACCUGGAGAGACAGAUGGUUGGGUGGUGAGGCCAGGAUUGACUUUUAGUCUCAGCCAGGUGUGUCUGUAACAAGCUGGAUCCCUGCUCACAUCUGUAAUCCCAGUUCCCAGUGGGGAGAGGCAGGGUCGGUAGAUCCUUCCUGGGAGGAGCAGGAAGAGUGAUGGAGAACAACUUCCCUCUCCCAUGUCUGCUCAUAAGCGCAUCCACCACAUUCCUGUGCACACACAGUAAGUUCUUAUAGAAGAUGGAAAAUGCAAAAGUACAGAAUGUUAAGCUAUGGUGGCACUGCUUUACCUGAGUGUCUGAAUCCAAGCUAAGGUACCAGAAGCCCCAGCUCUCUGUCACCUGUGUGCGCACGGGUAACAGAACUGUUACAUUGAGCUUAUGAGAAGAAUACAGAUAAGUGAGAAACAGCACUUGGUGUAACUAGUGAGUCGGCAAAAUUAAAGCCGGUAAUGUUUUUGUGAAAUUUCAAUUUUGGAACCUGAAAGAAAUGUUGCAUUGUUCUGUUUAGCCCAUAGUCUCUAAAAAUGAGUAAAAGUUUAAGAAAUA